UUUAUCGGCGGGUCUAUAAUGCAGUCGAGCGGACCGACGGGAGCUUGCUCCCUUAGGUCAGCGGCGGACGGGUGAGUAACACGUGGGUAACCUGCCUGUAAGACUGGGAUAACUCCGGGAAACCGGGGCUAAUACCGGAUGCUUGAUUGAACCGCAUGGUUCAAUCAUAAAAGGUGGCUUUUAGCUACCACUUACAGAUGGACCCGCGGCGCAUUAGCUAGUUGGUGAGGUAACGGCUCACCAAGGCGACGAUGCGUAGCCGACCUGAGAGGGUGAUCGGCCACACUGGGACUGAGACACGGCCCAGACUCCUACGGGAGGCAGCAGUAGGGAAUCUUCCGCAAUGGACGAAAGUCUGACGGAGCAACGCCGCGUGAGUGAUGAAGGUUUUCGGAUCGUAAAACUCUGUUGUUAGGGAAGAACAAGUACCGUUCGAAUAGGGCGGUACCUUGACGGUACCUAACCAGAAAGCCACGGCUAACUACGUGCCAGCAGCCGCGGUAAUACGUAGGUGGCAAGCGUUGUCCGGAAUUAUUGGGCGUAAAGCGCGCGCAGGCGGUUUCUUAAGUCUGAUGUGAAAGCCCCCGGCUCAACCGGGGAGGGUCAUUGGAAACUGGGGAACUUGAGUGCAGAAGAGGAGAGUGGAAUUCCACGUGUAGCGGUGAAAUGCGUAGAGAUGUGGAGGAACACCAGUGGCGAAGGCGACUCUCUGGUCUGUAACUGACGCUGAGGCGCGAAAGCGUGGGGAGCGAACAGGAUUAGAUACCCUGGUAGUCCACGCCGUAAACGAUGAGUGCUAAGUGUUAGAGGGUUUCCGCCCUUUAGUGCUGCAGCAAACGCAUUAAGCACUCCGCCUGGGGAGUACGGUCGCAAGACUGAAACUCAAAGGAAUUGACGGGGGCCCGCACAAGCGGUGGAGCAUGUGGUUUAAUUC
rnacentral:rRNA from 1 species